AAAAAAAAGAGUUUGAUCUUGGCUCAGAAUCAACGCUGGCGGCGUGCCUAACACAUGCAAGUCGAGCGAGAAAAGGGGGGCAACUCCCUGAGUAAAGCGGCGCACGGGUGAGUAACACGUGGGUAAUCUGCCCUGGAGUGGGGAAUAACACCGGGAAACCGGUGCUAAUACCGCAUACGAUCACGAGGUCUGCGGAUUUUGUGAUGAAAGGAGCAAUUCGCUCUAGGAGGAGCCCGCGGCUGAUUAGCUAGUUGGUGAGGUAAUGGCUCACCAAGGCGACGAUCAGUAUCCGGUCUGAGAGGACGGUCGGACACACUGGAACUGAGACACGGUCCAGACUCCUACGGGAGGCAGCAGUGGGGAAUUUUUGGCAAUGGGGGCAACCCUGACCAAGCAACGCCGCGUGGGUGAUGAAGUCUCUUGGGACGUAAAACCCUUUCGACGGGGAAGAAACCGCAAGGUUGACGGUACCCGUAGAAGAAGCCCCGGCUAACUCCGUGCCAGCCGCCGCGGUAAU
rnacentral:rRNA from 1 species